AGCAGGAAGGAACAAUGUGUGAGCAAGCAUCUCAUUUGAGAAACACUCAGUCACACAAACCAAUGAUGCCUUCAAAGCUAGUGGUGAGAGGAGCAACCAGCCCAUGACAUACACAGGAUACCUCCUGAGUCUGUGGUUAUCUCCGUUCCACCUCCAAAAGGAAAUAAAAGGAUGUUCUCUCAUGAGGAAUGACUCCAAAUUGUGCCUUGCUCGUGCCUGAGCUCAAAACUCUGUGAAUGUGCUUGAAAGGCAAGCACAGAGCUCUGCUUGAUCUUCAUCUUCAAGGGUCAUUUCUGCAAAGGAGACCCACUGAUUCUGAAAACAAUGGACUUCAAAUCAUGUAGCUAUGGAAAAGUACGGCAGUGCCAACCCUGGUUCCAAGAUCUUUCAUCUCUUGCUAACAAACUCUUCAAAUGUGCUACUUUAAACCCAGCUUUGGUGUCAGUCUGAGCAUCAGACGAGCAUGAAGAAGGCUGAAGAACUCAGCAAGUUCAUUGCCUCUGUCUUCACUUGCAGUCAGGCUUCCAACAACUCUCAUGUUCCUGAACUUCUAGGUAGGGUUGUGGGAGAGCACAAUCCCUCCCACUGUAAGAGCAGAACAAGUUCAAGACCACCUGAUGAGAUUGAACAUGUACAAGUCUAUGGAGUCCAUUGACAUGCAUCCCACAGUCCUGAAGAAACUGGCUGAUGCAGUUGCCAAGCUAUUUUCCAUCACACGUGAAAAGUCAUGGCUGUCAGGUGAAGUCCCCAGAAACUGGAAAAAAGGAAAUGUCACUCCCAUUCAUAAGAAAGGGAGAAAGGAAGACCAAGGAAACUACAGGUCAGUGAGCCUCAGCUCUGUGCCUGGGAAGAUCAUGGAGGAGAUCCUCCUGGAAGGGAUGUCAAAGCACAUGCAAAAUCAGGAGGUGAUCCAAGACAACCAGCACAGCUUCGUGGUCCUCCGUGAUGGAAUGACGGCUUCAGUAGACAAAAGAAGAGUAACUGAUAUCAUCUACUUGAAAUACUUGAAAUUAUACUCAUUAAAUGAGAUGUCAGUGCAGCUUGAUAGGAAGUGUGGAAGUAGAUUAAUGAGUACUUUCAAAGAUUAAUAAUUAUUUUCCAUGUAUGAGAUAUAAUAAAGUAAAACAGAUGGUAGUUUGCAGUACAUAAUGUAAAGCAUAUUUACUUCCUGAGUGGUUCAUGUGUAGCUUUAAUAAGAGAGAAUUCUAUUUUUUGUUUUAAUGUCUUUCUGAGAGAACUUGCAUCACUUACAUACUCUAAUGCUGAGUGCCAAAGCACAAAGAUUCAC
ensembl:lncRNA